UAGGGAAUAUUGGACAAUGGGGGCAACCCUGAUCCAGCCAUGCCGCGUGAGUGAAGAAGGCCCUCGGGUUGUAAAGCUCUUUUGUCCGGAAAGAAAAGCAUUCGGUGAAUACCCGGAUGUUCUGACGGUACCGGAAGAAUAAGCACCGGCUAACUACGUGCCAGCAGCCGCGGUAAUACGUAGGGUGCGAGCGUUAAUCGGAAUUACUGGGCGUAAAGCGUGCGCAGGCGGUUUUGUAAGACAGAGGUGAAAUCCCCGGGCUCAACCUGGGAACUGCCUUUGUGACUGCAAGGCUGGAGUGCGGCAGAGGGGGAUGGAAUUCCGCGUGUAGCAGUGAAAUGCGUAGAUAUGCGGAGGAACACCGAUGGCGAAGGCAAUCCCCUGGGCCUGCACUGACGCUCAUGCACGAAAGCGUGGGGAGCAAACA
rnacentral:rRNA from 1 species